AACUCUCAAGGGUAGUGUGCACAUCUGGGCAGCUGGUGGGAGCAUGAACGGCUCACAGGUGGGAGCUGCAGCCAAGGCUGCCUGGCUGAGCUGCUGCAACCAGUCCGGGCUGCCACUCGGACCCCCAGAGGGGCCACGCAUGGUGCAGGCAGUCGUGCUGGGCGUCCUGUCACUUUUGGUGCUCUGUGGGAUCCUGUUCCUGGGUGGUGGACUCCUCCUCCGCGCUCAGGGCCUGAUAGCCCUGCUGGCCCGAGAAAGGCAUUCAACCCCCGAGGCUGAGCCUGGUGCCUGUGGAGGGGAUGACGACUCCUAGGUGUCAGCUGCUCUUGAGAUUCAGCCUGUUCUGUGCCACGCCAUCCAGAGUUCAUUUCUGUGAGGCACAGCGGAAGGUCCAACCCACAAGCUCUUAUUUCCCGCACAGGUGCUGGACAUCUCCCCUCGCCUGCCGCCCACCCGCACCCUAUUUGUGCUUGUGGUGAUGGACUGAAGACACCGGACCGGUGACUCCUCAUCCUGGGACUCUGUUAUUCGGCUGUCUCCGAGCUGCUCCCGACACUCCUGGGGUGGGCGCAGGAGACUCCCGCUCAGAACAAGAACAAGUGAGUCUGCUUGGUGACUGCCCUGUGCCAUGGGCACUGGCUUUACACCCCAACGGCGUGCACACGAGUGUGCCCUCUGCACACCAAGCUCUGUGGACACGAGUGCAGCUCCUGUCUUGCCUGAUGCGGUAUCUGACAACCCAGUGCCCUAUCGCUGUCGAGAACCUGGAACUGUUUCCCAUCUGGAGAGUGUGUCAGCCAUCCAGCAACAGUUCCAGCAUCGCUUCCCACGGCUUUGCCAUUAAAUAGGCCAGGAACGCAGUUCUGAGUGUGUGGUCUGUUUCCAGCCCUUGACCCUUGGGAUUCUUGGUUUCCUUCCUCAUCUCCCCUCAAUUUGGCCUGCUUCUAGUAGAUUUUUUUUUUUUAAGAAAGGGUUUACAAGGAGCUGGAGAGGUGGCUGGGUAGUUACGAACACUGACUGUUCUUCCAGAGGUUCUGAGUUUGAUUCCUAGUAGCCACAUGGUGGCUCACAACCAUCUGUAAUGGGAGCCAAUGCCCUCUUCUGGUGCGUCUGAAGACAGCUAUGGUAUACUCAUAUACAUUAAAUAAAUAAUAUU
ensembl:lincRNA 6030408B16Rik RIKEN cDNA 6030408B16 gene